CAAUAUAAGUGAUGGCGACCGGCGCACGGGUGAGUAACACGUAUCCAACCCGCCGAUAACUCGGGGAUAGCCUUUCGAAAGAAAGAUUAAUACCCGAUGGUAUAAUAAAACCGCAUGGUUUAAUUAUUAAAGAAUUUCGGUUAUCGAUGGGGAUGCGUUCCAUUAGGCAGUUGGUGAGGUAACGGCUCACCAAACCUUCGAUGGAUAGGGGUUCUGAGAGGAAGGUCCCCCACAUUGGAACUGAGACACGGUCCAA
rnacentral:rRNA from 1 species